AACGGUAACAGGAAGAAGCUUGCUUCUUUGCUGACGAGUGGCGGACGGGUGAGUAAUGUCUGGGAAACUGCCUGAUGGAGGGGGAUAACUACUGGAAACGGUAGCUAAUACCGCAUAACGUCGCAAGACCAAAGAGGGGGACCUUCGGGCCUCUUGCCAUCGGAUGUGCCCAGAUGGGAUUAGCUAGUAGGUGGGGUAACGGCUCACCUAGGCGACGAUCCCUAGCUGGUCUGAGAGGAUGACCAGCCACACUGGAACUGAGACACGGUCCAGACUCCUACGGGAGGCAGCAGUGGGGAAUAUUGCACAAUGGGCGCAAGCCUGAYGCAGCCAUGCCGCGUGUAUGAAGAAGGCCUUCGGGUUGUAAAGUACUUUCAGCGGGGAGGAAGGGAGUAAAGUUAAUACCUUGCUCAUGACGUUACCCGCAGAAGAAGCA
rnacentral:rRNA from 1 species